rnacentral:rRNA from 1 species
UACGAAGGGUGCAAACGUUGCUCGGAAUUAUUGGGCGUAAAGCGCACGUAGGCGGCUUGGCAAGUCGGAUGUGAAAUCCCUCGGCUCAACCAAGGAAGUGCAUCCGAAACUGCUGAGCUUGAGUACUUAAGAGGAUCGCGGAAUUCCCGGUGUAGAGGUGAAAUUCGUAGAUAUCAGGAGGAACACCGGUGGCGAAGGCGACGACCUGGGUAGAUACUGACGCUGAGGUGCGAAAGCGUGGGGAGCAAACAGG